rnacentral:rRNA from 1 species
GACGAACCGUGCGAACGUUGUUCGGAAUCACUGGGCUUAAAGGGCGCGUAGGCGGUUCGGUAAGUCAGGUGUGAAAUCUCCACGCUCAACGUGGAGGCGCCACCUGAAACUGCCGUGACUCGAGUCCGGUAGGGGAGUGUGGAAUUCCCGGUGUAGCGGUGAAAUGCGCAGAUAUCGGGAGGAACACCAGUGGCGAAGGCGGCACUCUGGGCCGGUACUGACGCUGAGGAGCGAAAGCGUGGGGAGCGAACAGG